GAUGAGCCAGAAUUGGCACCUUGUCUAUAAAUAAGGUGCAAAAUGAUUUUAACUGAAGAGUUUGAUCAUGGCUCAGAUUGAACGCUGGCGGCAGGCUUAACACAUGCAAGUCGAGCGGGGGAAGGUAGCUUGCUACUGGACCUAGCGGCGGACGGGUGAGUAAUGCUUAGGAAUCUGCCUAUUAGUGGGGGACAACAUCUCGAAAGGGAUGCUAAUACCGCAUACGUCCUACGGGAGAAAGCAGGGGAUCUUCGGACCUUGCGCUAAUAGAUGAGCCUAAGUCGGAUUAGCUAGUUGGUGGGGUAAAGGCCUACCAAGGCGACGAUCUGUAGCGGGUCUGAGAGGAUGAUCCGCCACACUGGGACUGAGACACGGCCCAGACUCCUACGGGAGGCAGCAGUGGGGAAUAUUGGACAAUGGGGGGAACCCUGAUCCAGCCAUGCCGCGUGUGUGAAGAAGGCCUUAUGGUUGUAAAGCACUUUAAGCGAGGAGGAGGCUACUUUAGUUAAUACCUAGAGAUAGUGGACGUUACUCGCAGAAUAAGCACCGGCUAACUCUGUGCCAGCAGCCGCGGUAAUACAGAGGGUGCGAGCGUUAAUCGGAUUUACUGGGCGUAAAGCGUGCGUAGGCGGCUUAUUAAGUCGGAUGUGAAAUCCCCGAGCUUAACUUGGGAAUUGCAUUCGAUACUGGUGAGCUAGAGUA
rnacentral:rRNA from 1 species